ensembl:misc_RNA Metazoa_SRP Metazoan signal recognition particle RNA
GCUGGGUGUGGUGGCGUGCACCUGUAAUCCCAGCUACUUGGGAGGCUGAGGUAGGAGAGUCGCUUGAACCCAGGAGGUGGAGGUUGCAGUGAGCCAAGAUGGUGCCAUUGCACUCCAGCCUGGGUGACACGGCGAGACUCCAUCUCAA